rnacentral:rRNA from 1 species
UGGGGAAUAUUGGACAAUGGGCGCAAGCCUGAUCCAGCCAUGCCGCGUGUGUGAAGAAGGCCUUUUGGUUGUAAAGCACUUUAAGCGAGGAGGAGGCUACUUGGAUUAAUACUCUAAGAUAGUGGACGUUACUCGCAGAAUAAGCACCGGCUAACUCUGUGCCAGCAGCCGCGGUAAUACAGAGGGUGCGAGCGUUAAUCGGAUUUACUGGGCGUAAAGCGUGCGUAGGCGGCUUCUUAAGUCGGAUGUGAAAUCCCUGAGCUUAACUUAGGAAUUGCAUUCGAUACUGGGAAGCUAGAGUAUGGGAGAGGAUGGUAGAAUUCCAGGUGUAGCGGUGAAAUGCGUAGAGAUCUGGAGGAAUACCGAUGGCUAAGGCAGCCAUCUGGCCUAAUACUGACGCUGAGGUACGAAAGCAUGGGGAGCAAACAGG